GAUCAUGGCUCAGGAUGAACGCUAGCGACAGGCCUAACACAUGCAAGUCGAGCGGCAGCACCUCGGGUGGCGAGCGGCGCACGGGUGAGUAACGCGUAUGUAACCUGCCCAUGAGUGGGGGAUAGCCCGGUGAAAACCGGAUUAAUACCCCAUGACACCAAUGUCUGACAUCACUUAUUGGUUAAAGAUUCAUUGCUCAUGGAUGGACAUGCGUUGGAUUAGCUGGUUGGCGGGGCAACGGCCCACCAAGGCGACGAUCCAUAGGGGUUCUGAGAGGAAGGUCCCCCACAUUGGUACUGAGACACGGACCAAACUCCUACGGGGGGCAGCAGUGAGGAAUAUUGGUCAAUGGGCGGAAGCCUGAACCAGCCAAGUCGCGUGAAGGAUGAAGGCAUUACGUGUUGUAAACUUCUUUAGCUGUGGAGAAAUAAGGUGGUCGAGACCACCGAUGCUAGUACACAGAGAAUAAGGAUCGGCUAACUCCGUGCCAGCCGCGGC
rnacentral:rRNA from 1 species